GCACAAGCAGCGGAGCGUGUGGUUAAUUCGAUGAUACACGAAGAACUUACCAGGGUUUGACAUGCUGGUGGUAGGGAUCCGAAAGGUGACCGACCCUCGGGAGCCAGCACAGGUGCUGCAUGGCUGUCGUCAGCUCGUGCCGUGAGGUGUCGGGUUAAGUCCCAUAACGAGCGCAACCCUUACCGUUAGUUACCAUCAGGUUAAGCUGGGGACUCUAGCGGGACUGCCACCGUAAGGUGAGAGGAAGGUGGGGAUGACGUCAAAUCAGCACGGCCCUUAUGUCCAGGGCUACACACGUGUUACAAUGGCCAGUACAAAGGGCUGCGAUACCGCGAGGUGGAGCGAAUCCCAGAAAGCCGGUCUCAGUUCGGAUUGGGGUCUGCAACUCGACCCCAUGAAGUCGGAGUCGCUAGUAAUCGCAGAUCAGCAACGCUGCGGUGAAUACGUUCCCGGGCCUU
rnacentral:rRNA from 1 species